rnacentral:rRNA from 1 species
ACCAGACGAUGCGGGAUCGAAGAUGAUUAGAUACCAUCGUAGUUUUAACCAUAAACUAUGCCGACUGAGGAUUCUUGAAAUUUGUAAAUGAAUUUAAGAGCACUCCAUGAGAAAGCAAAGUCUUUGGGUUCCGGGGGGAGUAUGUUCGCAAGAAUGAAACUUAAAGGAAUUGACGGAAGGGCACACCAGGAGUGGAGCCUGCGGCUUAAUUUGACUCAACACGGGAAAACUCACCAGGUCCAGACAAAGUAAGGAUUGACAGAUUGAGAGCUCUUUCUUGAUUCUUUGGGUGGUGGUGCAUGGCCGUUCUUAGUUGGUGGAGUGAUUUGUCUGGUUAAUUCCGAUAACGAACGAGACCACGGCCUACUAAAUAGGACAGGCUGUGGUAACAUAGUUUGAGCCUUCUUAGAGGGACAUUUCGGGUUUACCGGAAGGAAGUUCGAG